rnacentral:rRNA from 1 species
UACGUAGGGUGCGAGCGUUAAUCGGAAUUACUGGGCGUAAAGCGUGCGCAGGCGGUUUUGUAAGCCAGAUGUGAAAGCCCCGGGCUUAACCUGGGAAUGGCAUUUGGGACUGCAAGGCUGGAGUACGGCAGAGGGAGGUGGAAUUCCACGUGUAGCAGUGAAAUGCGUAGAGAUGUGGAGGAACACCGAUGGCGAAGGCAGCCUCCUGGGCUAGUACUGACGCUCAUGCACGAAAGCGUGGGGAGCAAACAGG